AUGACCAUUCCCUUGUUGGAUAUAGAGAAGGCCACAGACAAUUUUGGUAGAACUCGUGAGGCAGGCAGCGGAGGACACGGUGUUGUGUAUAAAAGAAUUUUUGACCUACAGGUUGUUGCCAUCAAGAAAUCCAAGAUCAUCGUACUGAGAGAAUGUGAUGACUUCAUAAACGAGGUUGUGAUUCUUUCUCAAAUCAACCAUGGAAAUAUUGUGAAGCUAAUCGGAUGUUGUCUCGAGACAGAAGUCCCGUUACUGGUUUAUGAGUUCAUUUCAAAUGGUACACUUGAUCACCAUCUUCAUUUUGAAGGCCCGAUGUUAUUAUCAUGGGAUGAUCAAACAAGGAUUGAGCUUGAAGUUGCUAGAGCUCUUUCUUAUCUUCAUUCAUCUGCUUCGAUGCCAAUUUAUCAUAGGGAUAUUAAAUCAUCCAACAUACUUAUUGAUGAUAAUUUAACAGCAAAGGUAUCAGAUUUUGGAGCUUCGAGAUACAUCCCAAUUGUCAAAACAGGGUUGACUACAGCUAUGCAAGGAACAAUAGGCUACUUAGACCCCAUGUACUAUUAUACCGGUUGCCUAACAGACAAGAGUGAUGUUUCUAGCUUUGGUGUACUUAUAGAACUCCUAACUACAAAAAAACCAUGCCUCUACCGUAGUGGCGGCAAUGGUGUUGGUCUUGUAUCACAUUUCGUUUCGCUACUCGCAGAAGGCAAUCUUGAUUGA
rnacentral:rRNA from 1 species